GGGCAGUGCCGGGCCCCUCUGGUCAUAGCCCCUUGCUAUGGCGAUGUCGGAACUGCUCC
rfam:Devosia sp. S37 DIN_R1_(paired)_trimmed_(paired)_contig_29, whole genome shotgun sequence.